UACGGAGGGUGCAAGCGUUAUCCGGAAUCACUGGGUUUAAAGGGUGCGUAGGCGGUUAUGUAAGUCAGGGGUGAAAGGUCACAGCUUAACUGUGAGAUUGCCUUUGAAACUGUGUAACUUGAAUCAGAUAGAGGUUAGUGGAAUGCGACAUGUGGCGGUGAAAUGCAUAGAUAUGUCGUGGAAUACCGAUUGCGAAGGCAGCUAACUGGGUCUUGAUUGACGCUGAGGCACGAAAGCGUGGGGAGCGAACAGGAUUA
rnacentral:rRNA from 1 species